rnacentral:lncRNA from 1 species
AGACCAGGCUGGCCUCAAACUCAGAAAUCCGCCUGCCUCUGCCUCCCGAGUGCUGGGGUUAAAGGCGUUCGCCACCACACCCGGCCCCUUCCCUACUUUUAAGUCCUCACAGAUCGCUAUUACAAUAGUGCUCUCAAAUGUAGGUUUUCGGAACCAUGGCAGAUGGUGCAAUGACUUUGAGGUCUGCAUAUCUUCCAAAAUGAAGGCGGAGUUCUUGUUGGCUAUUCACGCCAACUCAAGCCAGGUCUACACAUUCCCACGUUCUGCUACUGCUUAUGACCAUGAGGUGGCAGUUGGCAUACCAAAGGGCUAGUUAGAGCUCUACGUUAAAAAAAAAAAUAAACCUUUGAGGGAAGAAAUAGGAAGAGUUUGUUAGACCAAAACAAAAUCUGGAGCUGAAAAUCUUCCAAUUCAAGCCAGGCAAGAAUGAUAAGCCACUGUGGGACAAAUCCUUGUCCAAGUUCAGAAUCUAGCGACAUUGAAGGUCUUGAAGGGGUUGAAAGAGGAAAACCAAGUCAGCCACAGAGAGCAAUGAUGAAGUAACCUUGCCCUUCUCAUAAUUAAAGCAAAGCAACACCUGUCUGUGCCCAUAUACAGACUCUUAACACUGCAGAGGUAAGGAAGUUACAUAGUUCCAAGCCAGCCUGGGCCCCAGAGUGAGUGAAGUCUUGUCUAACAGUACUCAAACAAUGGGAAGCUAUACCUUUAAGCACACAGAAAUUCAUUAUAGGCCAUAUAUAAGACCUAAAAGAAGUCGAAAUAAAUUUGGAAAGAUUUUGGUCACAUAACAUAUUUUUAGCCAUAUUUGGACUAGAAAAGUGAGAAAUCAAUAAAUAUUUGAAAAGCGUAAACACCACUCUAAAUAAGAGGGUUUUGGGUUUUUUUUAAAUCACAAACU